rnacentral:misc_RNA from 1 species
AACAAGGCGUACCUGCGGACCUGCGGAGGGAUCAUUACAAGUGACCCCGGUUUACCACCGGGAUGUUCAUAACCCUUUGUUGUCCGACUCUGUUGCCUCCGGGGCGACCCUGCCUUCGGGCGGGGGCUCCGGGUGGACACUUCAAACUCUUGCGUAACUUUGCAGUCUGAGUAAACUUAAUUAAUAAAUUAAAACUUUCAACAAUGGAUCU